rnacentral:rRNA from 1 species
UGGGGAAUAUUGCACAAUGGGGGAAACCCUGAUGCAGCGACGCCGCGUGAGCGAUGAAGGCUUUCGAGUCGUAAAGCUCUGUCCUAUGGGAAGAUAAUGACGGUACCAUAGAAGAAAGCCCCGGCUAAUUACGUGCCAGCAGCCGCGGUAAUACGUAAGGGGCGAGCGUUGUCCGGAAUUAUUGGGCGUAAAGAGUGCGUAGGCGGCAAAUUAAGUCAGAUGUGAAAACGAAGGGCUCAACCCAUAGAUUGCAUCUGAAACUGAUAUGCUUGAGUCAAGGGGAGGAAGGUGGAAUUCCUAGUGUAGCGGUGGAAUGCGUAGAUAUUAGGAGGAAUACCGGUGGCGAAGGCGACUUUCUCGACGUGAACUGACGCAGAGGCACGAAAGCAUGGGGAGCAAACAGG